rnacentral:rRNA from 1 species
CACGCCGUAAACGAUGUCAACUAGCCGUUGGGAGCCUUGAGCUCUUAGUGGCGCAGCUAACGCAUUAAGUUGACCGCCUGGGGAGUACGGCCGCAAGGUUAAAACUCAAAUGAAUUGACGGGGGCCCGCACAAGCGGUGGAGCAUGUGGUUUAAUUCGAAGCAACGCGCAGAACCUUACCACCUUUUGACAUGCCUGGACCGCCAGAGAGAUCUGGCUUUCUCUUCGGAGACUAGGACACAGGUGC